rnacentral:pre_miRNA from 1 species
AUAGUACUCCCUCCGUCCAGAAAUACUUGUCAUAGGAAUUGAUGUAUUUUAAUUCUAGAUACAUUCAUUUUUAUUCAUUUGUGUGAUAAGUAAUUCCGGACGGAGGGAGUAGUAU